rnacentral:rRNA from 1 species
AGCGAACGCUGGCGGCAGGCUUAACACAUGCAAGUCGAGCGGGCAUCUUCGGGUGUCAGCGGCGGACGGGUGAGUAACGCGUGGGAACGUGCCUUCUGGUUCGGAAUAACUCAGGGAAACUUGAGCUAAUACCGGAUACGCCCUUUUGGGGAAAGGUUUACUGCCGGAAGAUCGGCCCGCGUCUGAUUAGCUAGUCGGUGGGGUAACGGCCUACCAAGGCGACGAUCAGUAGCUGGUCUAAGAGGAUGAUCAGCCACACUGGGACUGAGACACGGCCCAGACUCCUACGGGAGGCAGCAGUGGGGAAUAUUGGACAAUGGGGGCAAGCCUGAUCCAGCCAUGCCGCGUGAGUGAUGAAGGCCUUAGGGUUGUAAAGCUCUUUCAGUAGGGAAGAUAAUGACGGUACCUACAGAAGAAGCCCCGGCUAACUUCGUGCCAGCCGCCGCGGUAA